AUCCCCCCAAAACCCCCAAAAUCCCCCCAAAAUCCCUCAAAAUCCUCCCGAAAUCCCUCCAAAAUCCUCCCAGACUCCCAAAAAUCUCCAAAAUCCUCCCCAAAAUCCUCCGAAAAUUCCCCAAAAAUCCCCAAAUUCCCCCCAAAUCCUCCAAAACCCUCCCGAACCCCCCCGUAAUUCUCCCACAAUUCCCCCAAAAUCCCCCCCAAAGUUCCCCAAAUCCCCCCAAAUUCUCUCAAAAUCCUCCCAAAAUCCCUCAAAAACCCCCAAAAUCCCCGAAAACCCUCCCAACCCCCCCCCGUAAUUCUCCCAAAACACUCCGAAAUUCCUCCCAAAUCCCCCAAAAUCUUCCAAAAACCCCCAAAUUCCUCCCAAAACCCCCCCAAAACCCCCCAUAAUUCUCCCAAAUUCCCCCCAAAAUCCCCUGAAAUCCUCCCCAAAUCCCCCCAAAACCCCCCCAAAGUUCCCCAAAUCCCCCCCAAAUCCCCCGAAAUCCCCACAAACUUCCCCUAAAUCCCCACAAAUCGACCACAACCCCCCCAAAUCCCCCCAAACUCCCAAAAAUCUCCCAAAAUUCCCCUCAAAUUGCCCCAAAAUCCCCCAAAUCCCCCUCAAAACCCCCAUAACUCCCCCAAAUCCCCCCAAAUCCCCCCCAAAAAUCUCCAAAUUCCCCCCAAAAUCCCCCAAAACCCUCCCGAAACCCCCCGUAAUUCUCCCAAAAUUCCCCCCAAAUCCCCCCCAAAUUCCCCAAAUCCCCCCCAACUCUCGGCCCCUCCCCCGCAGCCGCUGCCGCCCCUCCCCCCCCCGGGCCCGCCCCUCCCCCCCCCCGGGGCCCCCCCCCCCCCCCCCCGGGGCGCUGGGGCAGCUCCGGGGUUACCUGGGCCAGGUGGGCUCGGCCGCCGGGAACCUCCUGGGGGGGCUGGACCUGCCCUCGGCGCCGCAGCGCAUCCGGACGGCGUACGAGCAGAGCGUGACGGCCGCGGUCACCUACAGCGGGAUCCUGACGGACCAACUCUACCACUGGUGGCAGGGGGAGCAGUGACCCCAAAAAUGACCCAAAAUCACCCCAAAAAUGACCCCAAAAAUGACCCCAAAAAUGACCCCGAAAUUUGGGGGAACCCAAAAUUUGGGGAAAUCCAAAAUAAAGGCUCUGGAAUGGAAAAAAAUGGGAAAAAAUGGGUGGAAAAUGAAAAAAAAAUGGGUGGAAAAUGAAAAAAUUGGGGAGGGGGGAAAUGAAAAAAAAAUGGGGGAAAAAGGAAAAAAUGGGUGGAAAAUGGAAAAAAUGGGUGAAAAAGACCAAAAAAUGGGGGUGAAAAACAGCAAAAAAAUGGGGGUGAAAAAUGAAAAAUAAUGAUGAAAAGUAGCCCAAAAAUGGAGGGGGAAAAAGGGAAAAAUGGGGGUGGAAAAUGAAAAAAAAUGGGUGGAAAAAUGAAAAAAACGGGUGGAAAAUGAAAAAAACAGGGUAAAAAAAUGAAAAAAAUGGGGUGAAAAAGGAAAAAAAAAUGAGGAAAAUGAGCUCAAAAAUGGAGGUGAAAAAAGGGGGAAAUGGGUUUGAGAAAUGGAAAAAAAUGGGGUGGAAAAUGAAAAAAUGGGGUGAAAAAGGAAAAAAAUGGGUGGAAAAUUAAAAAAAUGGG
ensembl:lncRNA